rfam:Plasmodiophora brassicae isolate e3 genome assembly, contig: scaffold_25
CGCUUGGUAGCUCAGUAGGAAGAGCGAUGGGCCCAUAACCCAUAGGUCCCACGAUCGAAGCGUGGCCGAGCGA